GUUAAUUGUUUCCAAACAAAUAAUUGUCCCCUGUAUUUUUCCAUUAAGAAAGGUUUUAAUUUAAAUUAUCAAUAUGGUUAUGGGCUUUGUUCCAGAAUGUAAACAUUACAUGAAAAGAAAACUUGUUCUUUUUUUCGUUUCCCAAAAGAUCCAGUUCUUCUAAAGAAGUGGAGGUAUACCGAAGUGGAUUUUACUUGUGAGAAGUGGAGACAGGAAUCCAAGUCCAUCUUCUUUGAUUUGUUCAUGUCACUUUAGUAAUGGGGACAAAAAAAUAUGCCAACGUUAUUUGAAGAUAAUGAAGACAAGCUAUUUUCAUUCCAAUUUCCAGAGAAAAAGAAGAAAAGAAGUUUAAACUUUUACAGGGUAUGUAGUGUCAGCAAAUCUGUAAGUGAUAGAACUCAAAGCCAUCUCAAAGCCUUAUAUAUAUCUAUAACCUCUCUCAGACAUUUGAUGAAAAUAUACCUAUGGUCUGUGAACAACACGGUUCUGAGAAAUAACAACCGUCAACGAGUUUUGAAUAAAAUGCUUCUCCAUAUUAAAUUCAAUACCUCAGAAUUUACUUCGUCAAGACACAAAGAUUUUCCAAGUCUGUGGUGCUCUGACAAAUCUGCAAUUCCCAUUAAUUUCUGAAGUAGAACACUUGUAUAAAAUAGAGUAACUUAUUUUAAUGACAAAAAUUUUAUUGUUUAUACACAGGUAUUGUAUAUAAAAGAUUUGUUUACUACUUAUUUUUUAUCAUAUUCAUUUUAUGAUUAUGAUCUUUGCUUUGUGUAUAUUAUUUUUCUAUUAUUUCCCUUC
rnacentral:lncRNA from 1 species